rnacentral:ribozyme from 1 species
CGCAGAGUGACGGGCGCAAGCCCGGUAAUGCGGCUAAGAGCGGUCACAAGCCCCGC